GACGAACGUUGGCGGCGUGCCUAAUACAUGCAAGUUGAGCGCUGAAGGUUGGUACUUGUACCAACUGGAUGAGCAGCGAACGGGUGAGUAACGCGUGGGGAAUCUGCCUUUGAGCGGGGGACAACAUUUGGAAACGAAUGCUAAUACCGCAUAAAAACUUUAAACACAAGUUUUAAGUUUGAAAGAUGCAAUUGCAUCACUCAAAGAUGAUCCCGCGUUGUAUUAGCUAGUUGGUGAGGUAAAGGCUCACCAAGGCGAUGAUACAUAGCCGACCUGAGAGGGUGAUCGGCCACAUUGGGACUGAGACACGGCCCAAACUCCUACGGGAGGCAGCAGUAGGGAAUCUUCGGCAAUGGACGAAAGUCUGACCGAGCAACGCCGCGUGAGUGAAGAAGGGUUUCGGAUCGUAAAACUCUGUUGGUAGAGAAGAACGUUGGUGAGAGUGGAAAGCUCAUCAAGUGACGGUAACUACCCAGAAAGGGACGGCUAACUACGUG
rnacentral:rRNA from 1 species